GUAGACAUAGUUUUUAAAAAAAACAUUAGAUUGUGAUUCUAAAAAUAGGAGUUCAAAUCUCCUUGUCCACC
rnacentral:tRNA from 1 species